GACGAACGCUGGCGGCGUGCCUAACACAUGCAAGUCGAACGAUAUUCGCGAGGUGAAUUUUUCGGAAGGAUCCAGGCGAUGAAAGUGGCGAACGGGUGAGUAACGCGUGGGCAACCUGCCCCAAACUGGGGGACAACACCGGGAAACUGGUGCUAAUACCGCAUAAGACAACAGUAAGACAUCUUACAGUUGGAAAAGGAUCGUAAGAUCCGGUCUGGGGAUGGGCCCGCGUCUGAUUAGCUGGUUGGUAGGGUAACGGCCUACCAAGGCGAUGAUCAGUAGCCGAACUGAGAGGUUGAUCGGCCACAUUGGGACUGAGACACGGCCCAAACUCCUACGGGAGGCAG
rnacentral:rRNA from 1 species